AGAGUUUGAUCCUGGCUCAGAACGAACGCUGGCGGCGUGCUUAACACAUGCAAGUCGAACGUGAUUGAGAGCUUGCUCUCAUGAAAGUGGCGCACGGGUGAGUAACACGUGGAUAAUCUGCCUGGCGAUUCGGGAUAACACUUCGAAAGGGGUGCUAAUACCGGAUAAGCCCACGGUCUCUUCGGAGAGCGCGGGAAAAGGGGGCCUCUGUAUACGCUCCUGUCGCUAGAUGAGUCCGCGGCCCAUUAGCUAGUUGGUAGGGUAAUGGCCUACCAAGGCUACGAUGGGUAGCUGGUCUGAGAGGAUGAUCAGCCACACUGGAACUGAGACACGGUCCAGACUCCUACGGGAGGCAGCAGUGGGGAAUUUUGCGCAAUGGGGGAAACCCUGACGCAGCAACGCCGCGUGAGUGAUGAAGGCUUUCGGGUCGUAAAGCUCUGUCAGAGGGGAAGAAAUGAAACGUGCUAAUAUCACGUUUUCUUGACGGUACCCUCAAAGGAAGCACCGGCUAACUCCGUGCCAGCAGCCGCGGUAAUAC
rnacentral:rRNA from 2 species